UUGGAGGGCAAGUCUGGUGCCAGCAGCCGCGGUAAUUCCAGCUCCAAUAGCGUAUAUUAAAGUUGUUGCAGUUAAAAAGCUCGUAGUUGAAUUUCGGGAUCAGACUGUCGGUCGUGCCUCGGUACGCACUGGCAUUAUUGGUUCCUACCUUCUGAAGAACCGCGAUGUCAUUAAUUUGGUGUCGCGGGGAAUCAGGACUGUUACUUUGAAAAAAUUAGAGUGUUUAAAGCAGGCGCACGCUUGAAUACAUUAGCAUGGAAUAA
rnacentral:rRNA from 1 species